UACGGGGGGGGCAAGCGUUGUUCGGAAUUACUGGGUUUAAAGGGUGCGUAGGUGGAUUGGUAAGUCAGUGGUGAAAUACUUUCGCUUAACGAAGGAACUGCCAUUGAUACUACCAGUCUUGAAUACAGUGGAGGUAGGCGGAAUGCGUCAUGUAGCGGUGAAAUGCUUAGAUAUGACGCAGAACACCAAUUGCGAAGGCAGCUUGCUACACUGUUAUUGACACUGAGGCACGAAAGCGUGGGGAUCAAACAGG
rnacentral:rRNA from 1 species